GUUGUUUUUAAACCUCCUAACACAAGGGUCAUGGUGUAUGUGGUCUUCUGUGACUAGGUUUUAGGUUUUGUUUUUUAACUCUCCACAGAUGAGUCUUGAUUUUACCUGAAGUGAGAUUGACUCCGGGCACUUUGGUAGUGUCUGGAGACAUUUUUGGCUGUCACAACUGGUGGAGAGGGUGCUGUGGCUCCAGGUAUGCUGCGAAACGUCCCACAACCCACAGGACGGGCCCCAUCACGAGGGGUGCACUGGCCUCCAAUGUCCGUAGUCCCAAGAGACGCGAAGACGCACGUCCGCGCAAGAACUUGUACACAAAUGUGCAUAGCAGCGUUAUUCACAGGAGCCAAGAAGUGAAAACAGCCCGAAAGUCCACCCGCUGACGACUCCAUAAACCACACAUGGUCUGUCCAUGCAAUGGAAUAUGACCAGCCACAAAACAGAUUCAGCACUGACACGCUACAAAGUGGACAAACCUCGAAACAUGAUGCAGAGUGAAAGACGCCAGACACCGAAGGCCACACAGUGUCCGGUCCCAUUUCUAUGGAAAGCCCAGACCAGGCGGACCCGUAGAGCUGUACAGUAGAACCAGCAACAGCUUUCCUCGCAAGCUCAGGUGUGACCAACGUGUAGUUCUCCUGUUCUGUGGGAGUAAAACUGGCUGGGCACACGGCCACAAAGCCUGAGACCCGGAGACCUCGCUCCCCCUUCCCUUGCUUCUGCUGGAAUGUGAAUGGAAGUGUCCACACCUGCUUCACGGGCUUCUCCCUCUCCCCCUUUCUGAGAGCUGGAAUGUGGGUCUGGUUUUAACACUGCUUCAACCACGCCAUGAGGACCAUAUCCAGGCGGGAUGGACGACAGGAUGGAAGGGGCUGGGCCCCAAUUACUGUAAGGCAAAGCUCCUGGCCGUCCUGACGGCCCGCCUCCGUCAGCCCUCUUACAGUAGAGAGAAACAAGCUUCUCUCUUGCUUUAGCCAAUGUUGCAUUGGAGUUUCUCUUCUUUCUCUCUCUCUUUUUGUUUUGUUUUGUUUGUUUUUGAGACAAGGUCUUGCUCUGUCGCCCAGGCUGGAGUUCAAUGGCUCUAUCAUAGCUCACUGCCACCUUGACCUCCUGCCUCAGCCUCCCAAGUAGCUGGGACUGCUGGUGUGUGCCACCAUGCCCACGUCCAGCUAAAUUUUUUUUGUAUUUUUUGUAGAGACAGGGUCUCACUAUGUUGCCCAGGCUGGUUUCAAACUCCUGGCCUCUAGUGAUCCUCCUACCUCAACCUCCCAAAGCACUGAGAUUACAGACAUGAGCCACCGUGCCCAGCCUGGAGUUUCUUUGUUACAGCAGCUGAAUCUAUACCCUGACUAAUACAUCGAGUUUUCACAAAAGGCCAGUAUAGAUGGACUAUCUUCCAGAGGCUUCUCAUCUCUGCCCAGAAAAACAAAUAUCGAGGAAAGGGCUGGAUGUUGCCUUGGAAUUGAGGGAGGGAAAUCACAGGGUGAAUAAACACAGAUGACUAUCUCAGUAAAGAACCUGCUUACCACAGUGCCUUCCUUGGGGGGUGGUUUGAAGGACCCCCAGGGACUGAUGCAUACAAGACAGCCGGCUCCUGAGGCCUGGGGCACAGCGAGCGCCGACUGCCAGAAAACACCGUGGCCGCGGGGCGGCUGCACUGAGCCUUGUCAAUAGUGAGCACUUUGCCGUGAGCCCUGUCUGGCUUACAACCUGGCAUGUGGGCUUGGGCAAGUCAUUUCAUAGUUGCCACAAAUAAUUACCGAGCACCUACUGUAUGCCAGGCACCAAAUAAUUACUGAGCACCUACUGUAUGCCAGGCACCAAAUAAUUACUGAGCACCUACUGUAUGCCAGUUCUGGAAGCUGGAGACGAAGUGGGGAGUGAGAAAUACCUAGUCUCUGCCCUCUCUGACUCAGCUUUGACUAUCUUGAGAGGUGCCAGCCCAGGGGUUCUUUGAGUGCCAGGCUGACCAGCUUCAAUGCCCUGCAGCAGGCACUCAAGUUCACAGCAGAUGGAGUGAUGUGGCAGAGGCACAAGGAAAAUGAUUAAUCUGGCAGCGAAAAACAGAAUGGAUUCGGCUCAGAUGAUUAGCAGCCCCAGGAGGGACAAGGAAAAAAAAAAAAAAACCCUGACUCUACGAUGGCUCAGCAGAACUGCUCUCUCUAAUAAAUAAUAAUUCUCCAGCUUUCCUGCUAACAGUCACAGGCAGGAUUUCUCAUCUCUAUGCCCGUCCCCCACCAGAAGUCAGGCAUGGCCGUGUGGCUUGCCUGGGCCAAUGAGAUGUCAGCAGAAGUGAUGUAAGUUGCAUCUAAGAAGAAGCUCUAAGAAGCAGUGCACAGCCUGCCUCAAGCCCGAUGAUGCUCCACAUGGCAGAGGCCCCCUCUGCAUCCCAGAGUGAGAAGACAUGGCACAGAGCCCAUUGCCAACACACAGCAGACACAUAGCACGGGUGAGGAAACAAAGUGUGGAAGAGAUCACCAAGGUUACCCAAAGUCAAACACAGAGUAGAGGCACAGACAAGACUCAAAGACAGGUCUGCCCUUUGCUGCAACCCUCCAUUCUGAACAAACCCAGCCAAGCCCCUUACUGCUAACCACUUCAAUUAAAGCCAAUGUCAAGGCCUCCUGGUUUCUAAAUGAACAGCCCUGAUCAUGUUCGUUAAAGGCCCUGUCUGCACAGACUGCUCAUUUUAUCCGAAGCCGCCAACAAGAUAAAUGGCCCUGUAACUUAUUGUUCUGCUGCAAAGCACCUCACGGCAAGCGGCGGCACAGAUGCCAGGAAUAAAUCACAUCUGAUCUUCCGAGAGCCAGGCAGAGCGCCCACGAGGAGUGUCGGAGGCAGGGGAGGUUGGCACAGCCCUGGACCUUGGGGGUUGGAGCAGCCCUGGACCUUGGGGGGAUUCACUAAGGAGCAGAGAGCUGCAGGGGUCUUUAUUAGGGCCCCGGAGCUCUGGAGUAUACAUUGUUCUUUUUUAUCGGCCCAGCACCUAUUUCCCCUUCUUGGGGUUUAAUAGCACCCCUUUUUCUCUGGGAAAACCAUCUCUCCUCCGCUCUCAGUCUGUCUGGUUCCGAUGGGGUCAUCCCUUCUCCCAGUUACAGGGAGGAGCAUGAACACGUGACCUACCCUGGUCAAUCAGAGCUUCACAUUCUUUUGCAGCCAUGACUAGCUCAGAGCAGGCAGGUGACCCACACCAGGCUGAUGGGACCCAAACCUCAGACUUCUGCUGAAACUCUAGGAAAAAAGGAGUUCUCUCUUCUAACAGGUUGCUCACAGAAGGAACUUUUCCGUUGAAUUACCUCAGUUUCUAGCACAAUUACAGGCACAUGGUAGGUGCUUGGUAAAAAUGGGCUGGAUGAAUGAACAAUCCACCUGGAGUUAGCACAGCUGGCUUCUUGUCUGGGCGCAGCCAUCUCUAACUUCAAGACAGCUUCUUCACCUCUGCAGGUCUCAGUUUUCUUGCCUAUAAAAAGGCAUUAAUAACAGCACUUAGCAGUAGCUGAUUAUAUCAGUUAGCUAUUGCUGCCGACAUGCUGCGUAACAAAAGAUUCCCACCUGCAAUCACUCAUUAUCAUUUCCGUGUCUGCCAGUUGGCUGGGAGUCACCUGAUCCAGGCUGGGCUGGGCUGCCCACCUGUCUCUCUUCCUCUUUGGAUCAGCAAGUUAACCCAGGGCCUGUUUGUCUCACCCAGUGACAGAGGCACAGCAUAAUACAAGGUCCCUGAAGGGAUAGGGCCAAUACUAGCACAGCCUCAUUUCCAUUGCCUUCUUAUGGCCAAAGCAAGUCACAUGGCCAGACCUAAAGUCAAGAGGUGGGGAAAUGCACUCUACUUCUUUGCCACCCGGUAAAGGGCACAGAUGUGGGGGGUGGUGAGGAAUUGAGGCUGGCUGUGUACCCCCACAAUGCCAUUGUCUGUGCCUUGAUGUUGACUUGAUCCGUGUCCACCUCCUUCUCCACUAGAAUAAACCUCGGAGCACCUGGAUCUCUGUCUGCUUUGUUCACGGCUGUAUCCCAGCAUCUAGAACGGGGCCCAGGACAGAGUCAAUGCACAGCAAAUCCUUGUGGAAAGCCUGGCUAGCUGCCCCUGGCCUCCCUCUGCUGUGAGGAUUGAGCCAGGUCAGAGACCCAGACAUGGCAUUGGAAGUUAUGGAAGCCCCU
rnacentral:lncRNA from 1 species